GCUAUAGUCAUGGGAAUCUCCGGGUAAGCUGUUUUUGAGUGUCUACUAUAUCUUGAUAAGAAUGAUGCUCUUGCUAGGCCAACAUGAUGAGUUUUUAUGUUAUUACCCUGUCAUAAAAAUUAGUUAAUUUCUGAUGGAAUAUACUGUGAAAAAAUUUUAUUAUGUUCUAAAAGGACAUGUCAUGUAUUCAUGUUACCUUUUAUACAAAGUAACAUAAUUGUAGAUUAUGAUAGGCAUUGGUAAU
rnacentral:misc_RNA from 1 species